rnacentral:rRNA from 1 species
AGUGAACGCCGGCGGCAGGCCUAACACAUGCAAGUCGAACGGCAGCACAGUAAGAGCUUGCUCUUACGGGUGGCGAGUGGCGGACGGGUGAGGAAUACAUCGGAAUCUACUUUUUCGUGGGGGAUAACGUAGGGAAACUUACGCUAAUACCGCAUACGACCUACGGGUGAAAGCAGGGGAUCUUCGGACCUUGCGCGAUUGAAUGAGCCGAUGUCGGAUUAGCUAGUUGGCGGGGUAAAGGCCCACCAAGGCGACGAUCCGUAGCUGGUCUGAGAGGAUGAUCAGCCACACUGGAACUGAGACACGGUCCAGACUCCUACGGGAGGCAGCAGUGGGGAAUAUUGGACAAUGGGCGCAAGCCUGAUCCAGCCAUACCGCGUGGGUGAAGAAGGCCUUCGGGUUGUAAAGCCCUUUUGUUGGGAAAGAAAAGCAGCAGGUUAAUACCCCGCUGUUCUGACGGUACCCAAAGAAUAAGCACCGGCUAACUUCGUG